rnacentral:rRNA from 1 species
GCGUACAGGUUUCCGUAGGUGACCUGCNGAAGGAUCAUUAAUGAUUGAACGUCUGUCGAGCUUGCUCACAGGCUUAUCAUAUCCAUAACACCUGUGCACUUGUCGGAUGGCUUAGUGAAGACCGCAAGGUUGGAUCUAUCCGUCUACUUUACAUAACAAUCCUGUAACAAAUGUAGUCUUAUUAUAACAUAAUAAAACUUUCAACAACGGAUCUCUUGGCUCUCGCAUCGAUGAAGAACGCAGCGAAAUGCGAUAAGUAAUGUGAAUUGCAGAAUUCAGUGAAUCAUCGAAUCUUUGAACGCACCUUGCGCUCCUUGGUAUUCCGAGGAGCAUGCCUGUUUGAGUGUCAUGAAAACCCUCAACCUUAGAUUGGUUAACACCUCUCUUUGGCUUGGAUUUGGACGUUUGCCGAUGAUAAGUCGGCUCGUCUUAAAAGUAAUAGCUGGAUCUGUCUCGCGACAUGGUUUGACUUGGCGUAAUAAGUAUUUCGCUAAGGACAUCUUCGGAUGGCCGCGUUGCAGGACUAAAGACCGCUUUCUAAUCCAUUGAUCUUCGGAUUAAUACUCUUGACAUCUGGCCUCAAAUCAGGUAGGACUACCCGCUGAACUUAAGCAUAUCAAUAAGCGGAGGAAAAGAAACUAACAAGGAUUCCCCUAGUAACGGCGAGUGAAGCGGGAAGAGCUCAAAUUUGAAAUCUGGUAGCCUUCGGUUGCCCGAGUUGUAAUCUAGA